AGCGCAGGUGGUUUCUUAAGUCUGAUGUAAAAAGGCAGUGGCUCAACCAUUGUGUGCAUUGGAAACUGGGAGACUUGAGUGCAGGAGAGGAGAGUGGAAUUCCAUGUGUAGCGGUGAAAUGCGUAGAUAUAUGGAGGAACACCGGAGGCGAAAGCGGCUCUCUGGCCUGUAACUGACACUGAGGACUCGAAAGGCGUGGGAAGCGAAACA
rnacentral:rRNA from 1 species